GUGUCCCUCUGGUGGCUCUAAAUUGGCUGGGGCAUUGGGUGUCUGAUGGAUUCAGAAAGAGUUUCCAAUUUUAUCUCCGUUGCUCUCCUUUCUUUCUUACAACCUAUCUUAGUUUUAGGACAAUGCUUUGGGACUUAAGACAAUCUUAUCUGAUCCUAACAAGGGUUGUGAGGGUCCUAAAGAAGGAAGAUCAAAAGUUUAAAGGAGGUUCUGAGAGGGUGGAAUCAGUUUCUUGGAGAAACUUGACCAGUAUAAGGCUAAUCGAGUUCUAGUGGCUAGAACUCUUGAAGCAAGAUGAAGAAGGAGCACUAUCCUUGGUUUAGUUUUCAUGUGGAUCACCAUUGAAGGGCGGACACUUGGAUGCCUUAUAAAAAUUGGGAUUAGCACUAUAGGUAUUCUUAUUAUCCUAAUUUAUAUUUAUUGUAC
rnacentral:lncRNA from 1 species